UGAGGAAUAUUGGUCAAUGGGCGCAAGCCUGAACCAGCCAUCCCGUGUGCAGGAAGACGGCGCUAUGCGUUGUAAACUGCUUUUCCAGGGGGAGAAACUUGCGCACGUGUUGCGCAAUUGACGGUACCCUGGGAAUAAGCAUCGGCUAACUCCGUGCCAGCAGCCGCGGUAAUACGGAGGAUGCGAGCGUUAUCCGGAUUCAUUGGGUUUAAAGGGUGCGUAGGCGGACUAUUAAGUCAGUGGUGAAAUCCUGCAGCAUAACUGCAGAACUGCCAUUGAUACUGAUAGCCUUGAGUUUGGUUAAGGUAGGCGGAAUGUGUAAUGUAGCGGUGAAAUGCUUAGAUAUUACAUAGAACACCAAUUGCGUAGGCAGCUUACUGAGCCGACACUGACGCUGAGGCACGAAAGCGUGGGGAUCGAACAG
rnacentral:rRNA from 1 species